AUGGCAAGACUAGCAGCAUUUCUUCUUGUUCUUAAAACCUGUGCAUCUGUGAGAUCUACCAUGUUUUCUCAAGAAUGCUCUGCAGACAAGGAAAUACCCUGCGAGAGUCUGAGCACCUCUGCGGGCUACACGUACCCGCUGCCGCAGAACAUGAGAGACUUGAGUACAAAGCAUUGUGAACAUGGAUGGUAUUUUCCGUUUAACUGUAUGAUCACUUACACAGUUAUAGAUUGGAACACAAACCACAUGCACAAACAGGAUGGCACUGGGGGAUUCCUUAACUGGGGGAUUGCUGUGAUUGGGAUUGUGGCUGUAAUUGGAACCAUUUUUGCAUCUGUUUGCUAUUGUUAUCGAAAAUCUGGAAAUAGGUGGAUUUUACAAAAUUGUGUUUAGUAGGACAAAUUAAUUGUCUGGUGUUUAGGAUCUGAAACAAUAUGCCUUCUGUACCCAAGGUUGCUCCAAAAAGAUUUCCCCUGUAAUUUCUUUCCACUCAUUAAUUUUUCUUUGGCUGGCUUUUAUAAAUGUUAGCUAUUGUAUUAAUGAGAUGAACUUAACACAUAUUGAGAACUAUGUAAAAUAUGUAAUUUCUGUCAUCAGUUGUAAAAUUUUUACUUGAAUUAUUUUUUCUAAAUCAUUAUUUUAACAUUGUAUUACAUUUUUGUUUAUCUUUUGCCUUUGCUAUCUAGUUGUCUUGUUUCUCUUUUAAUAAAAUCUGAUUGUGAAGUUACGUUUUACA
ensembl:lncRNA